rnacentral:lncRNA from 1 species
GAAUGGGUCAAGUAUUACAUGCCAGGUUAAGGAUGAAUAGUAGUUCUCUAAAUGAACAUUUGUUCAAACGAAAUCUAGUAGAUUCUUCAAACUGCUCGUGUGGUUUGAUCGAGUCUACAGCUCAUUUCUUAUUGCAUUGUAAAAAAAUAUGACGAAUUGCGUAAUGACAUUAUUUUCUCAAUUAAUUAUCCAGUCACACUAAACACGAA